rnacentral:rRNA from 1 species
GACGAACGCUGGCGGCGUGCCUAAUACAUGCAAGUAGAACGCUGAAGAGAGGAGCUUGCUCUUCUUGGAUGAGUUGCGAACGGGUGAGUAACGCGUAGGUAACCUGCCUUGUGGCGGGGGAUAACUAUUGGAAACGAUAGCUAAUACCGCAUAACAAUGGAUGACACAUGUCAUUUAUUUGAAAGGGGCAAUUGCUCCACUACAAGAUGGACCUGCGUUGUAUUAGCUAGUAGGUGAGGUAACGGCUCACCUAGGCGACGAUACAUAGCCGACCUGAGAGGGUGAUCGGCCACACUGGGACUGAGACACGGCCCAGACUCCUACGGGAGGCAGCAGUAGGGAAUCUUCGGCAAUGGGGGCAACCCUGACCGAGCAACGCCGCGUGAGUGAAGAAGGUUUUCGGAUCGUAAAGCUCUGUUGUAAGUCAAGAACGAGUGUGAGAGUGGAAAGUUCACACUGUGACGGUAGCUUACCAGAAAGGGACGGCUAACUACGUGCCAGCAGCCGCGGUAAUACGUAGGUCCCGAGCGUUGUCCGGAUUUAUUGGGCGUAAAGCGAGCGCAGGCGGUUUGAUAAGUCUGAAGUUAAAGGCUGUGGCUCAACCAUAGUUCGCUUUGGAAACUGUCAAACUUGAGUGCAGAAGGGGAGAGUGGAAUUCCAUGUGUAGCGGUGAAAUGCGUAGAUAUAUGGAGGAACACCGGUGGCGAAAGCGGCUCUCUGGUCUGUAACUGACGCUGAGGCUCGAAAGCGUGGGGAGCGAACAGGAUUAGAUACCCUGGUAGUCCACGCCGUAAACGAUGAGUGCUAGGUGUUGGAUCCUUUCCGGGAUUCAGUGCCGCAGCUAACGCAUUAAGCACUCCGCCUGGGGAGUACGACCGCAAGGUUGAAACUCAAAGGAAUUGACGGGGGCCCGCACAAGCGGUGGAGCAUGUGGUUUAAUUCGAAGCAACGCGAAGAACCUUACCAGGUCUUGACAUCCCGAUGCUAUUUCUAGAGAUAGAAAGUUACUUCGGUACAUCGGUGACAGGUGGUGCAUGGUUGUCGUCAGCUCGUGUCGUGAGAUGUUGGGUUAAGUCCCGCAACGAGCGCAACCCCUAUUGUUAGUUGCCAUCAUUCAGUUGGGCACUCUAGCGAGACUGCCGGUAAUAAACCGGAGGAAGGUGGGGAUGACGUCAAAUCAUCAUGCCCCUUAUGACCUGGGCUACACACGUGCUACAAUGGUUGGUACAACGAGUUGCGAGUCGGUGACGGCAAGCUAAUCUCUUAAAGCCAAUCUCAGUUCGGAUUGUAGGCUGCAACUCGCCUACAUGAAGUCGGAAUCGCUAGUAAUCGCGGAUCAGCACGCCGCGGUGAAUACGUUCCCGGGCCU